rnacentral:rRNA from 1 species
ACUCCUACGGGAGGCAGCAGUGGGGAAUAUUGGACAAUGGGGGAAACCCUGAUCCAGCCAUGCCGCGUGUGUGAAGAAGGCCUUCGGGUUGUAAAGCACUUUCAGUGGGGAGGAAAGGUUGAUGGUUAAUACCUAUCAGCUGUGACGUUACCCACAGAAGAAGCACCGGCUAACUCCGUGCCAGCAGCCGCGGUAAUACGGAGGGUGCAAGCGUUAAUCGGAAUUACUGGGCGUAAAGCGUGCGCAGGCGGUCUGUUAAGCGAGAUGUGAAAGCCCCGGGGCUCAACCUCGGAACUGCAUUUCGAACUGGUCAUCUAGAGUACUGUAGAGGGUGGUGGAAUUUCCAGUGUAGCGGUGAAAUGCGUAGAGAUUGGAAGGAACAUCAGUGGCGAAGGCGGCCACCUGGACAGAUACUGACGCUGAGGCACGAAAGCGUGGGGGAGCAAACAGGAUUAGAUACCCUGGUAGACUGUC